rnacentral:rRNA from 1 species
GUAUAAAGGGCGCAGGACAGGCUGGAUUUACACAUGCUUAACCUGCCCAUAAAACUGGUGUAACUUGUGCAAACCGUGACUAAUACCUUCUCACUUUUUAAGCUACAUGGAUCAGAACUGAUGGGCCUGUUCAUGUGCCUGUUGGGAUUGGACCCUCUCCUAAUUAUCUAGUUGGUGAGGUAACGGCUCAAAGAUGGACAAUGCGUAGCCAACCUGAGAUGUUGAUGGCUCGAGAGGGUACUGAAACAAGAUCGAAACGCCGACGAAAGUCUUGAAUAGGAAAUCUUCACUAAUGGACAAAACUCUGACGGACGCCUGCCGGGUGACUGAUGGGGGCUUUCCGGUCCGAAAACUCUGUUGAUAUUGAAUAUUCUAUGCUGUUUGAAUAAUCUGUUGCCUUGACCGUGCCUAUACCUGUUUCCUGUGCUAACUUGUUGUCCGCUCCCGCUUCAAUACAUAAGUGGAACCGGAUAUCCAGAAUUAUUGGCCUGAAAGGCCGCGCGAGUGGUUUCUUUCAUCUGAUGUGAAAGCCCACUCACUGCCCGCUUUCCAGUCAUUGAAACCUGUCGAGACUUGAGUGUUAAUGAGGAAAGUGGAAUUCCAUGUAUAGGGGUGAUGUGCAUAGAGAUAUCUACCAACUCCUCUGUCAAAGACUACUUUCUGUCCUGCGACUGACUGUGACGAGCGAUAUCAUGUCAAUCAAACGCGAUUAUAUACUCAGCCACUCAACCCCGUAAUCAAUGAGUGCUAAAUGUGAGAGGGUUUCGCCCCUUUAGGCUGAGAUUAACACAUUAGCCACUCCGCCGGCGUUUUUCCA